GACGAACGCUGGCGGCGUGCUUAACACAUGCAAGUCGAACGGAAAGGCCCUGCUUUUGUGGUGUGCUCGAGUGGCGAACGGGUGCGUAACACGUGAGUAACCUGCCCUUGGCUUUGGUAUAACUUCAGGAAACUGGGGCUAAUACCGUAUCGGAUCUCCUGCUGCAUUGUGGGCGUUGGAUCGUUUCGGCGGUUGGGGAUGGACUCGCGGCUUAUCAGCUUGUUGGUUGGGUAGUGGCUUACCAAGGCUUUGACGGGUAGCCGGCCUGAGAGGGUGACCGGCGACAUAGGGACUGAGGUACGGCCCAGACUGCUACGGGAGGCAGCAGGGGGGAAUAUUGCACAAUGGGCGGAAGCCGGAUGCAGCAACGCCGCGUGCGGGAUGACGGCCUUCGGGGUGAAAAACGCUUUCGCCUGUGACGAAGCGUGAGUGACGGUAAUGGGUAAAGAAGCACCGGCUAACUACGUG
rnacentral:rRNA from 1 species